rnacentral:lncRNA from 1 species
CUCUCUCUCUCGCUCUCUUUUACAUAAUGAAGCCUCAUGCACAUAGAGCAAGAGGCUUCACACACACAUACUCAACUAUCUCUCCAUCACUGGUAUUUCCCACACUGUUUCAUUUUUGCAUCCAAACCCUAACAUAACACUAGCGAGUACUGAGAUUGUCACCAGCACCACCACCACCACCACCACCACCACUACUACUACUACUACUACUGUUAAUAUAAUAGUAGUAUUAUCAUCAGCAUCAUCAGCACCACCUUAAUAUUGCAUUUGUUCCUCAACAUAGGAAUUGUUCUCCUAUAUUCUGUCACAGGAGUGAAGAGAAGCAAGAAACAUGAAGUCUUGGAGAAUAUUAUGUUUCGUUAUAUUGUUGAUCACGAUUACUGCAGCAGAUGAUCAGUCGCGGUGCUGUAUGAAAGGUGUAAAAAGAAUGAGAAAAGCUGUGUUCUGUUCUGAACCAUGUUGUUCAGGCUAUAUUGAACGCGUUGAAAAUCCUCCACUGCUGGGUCUUGUGGUCUUCUGCGAGAAGUUGGAGGUCUAACAUGUGGAAUAUGCGUUACCUUAAUAGUUCUGUUCAUAGCCAUGGCUGUCGUUGUAUAUAAACCGUACCAUGGUUCUGACAUGUCAACAUCUCGAAUUCCUCACAGAUCAAUGGAACCUCUAGCAACUUUCGUUAACACUGUAUUUAAUCUGAAUAAUUCACUCUAACCUUGGUAAUCUUCACAGCUGUCAUAGAUGACUAGCACCAAUAAUUAUUAUACAUUCUAUACACACUGAAGCAAUAAACAAUGUAGAGUAGUGAGUUGGCUCUGAGUUAAACACUCAACAGUUCAAAA